rnacentral:rRNA from 1 species
GGGGAAUCUUGGACAAUGGGGGAAACCCUGAUCCAGCGAUGCCGCGUGUGUGAAGAAGGCCUUCGGGUUGUAAAGCACUUUCGGCGGGGAGGAUGGUAUCUCGUGCUAAUAUCACGAGGUGUUGACGUUACCCGCAUAAGAAGCACCGGCUAACUCUGUGCCAGCAGCCGCGGUAAUACAGAGGGUGCAAGCGUUAAUCGGAAUUACUGGGCGUAAAGCGCGCGUAGGUGGUUUGAUAAGUAGGCUGUGAAAUCCCCGGGCUCAACCUGGGAACUGCAGUCUAAACUGUCUGACUAGAGAUCGGUAGAGGGGGAUGGAAUUUCUGGUGUAGCGGUGAAAUGCGUAGAGAUCAGAAAGAACAUCAGUGGCGAAGGCGAUCCCCUGGACUAAAUCUGACACUGAAGUGCGAAAGCGUGGGGAGCAAAC